CACACCCCGGGCUGGGGCUGGGGAGGCCACCAGCACCACUCUACCUGCCUUCCACUCACCUUUCUAAGGAUGUUGUCGGGAUUAACUGAAUGGGGCAUAUUAAGCUCCUGUUUCCUGAGAGAGAUGGCGAGUGAGUAAAGGAUAUUAUUCCAUCAACGGCCGGCUUUAAUAGCAUCCCCCGCAACUGGCAUGACAGGAAUGCACCAUCUCACUCGCAUCCUGACUGCAAGGAGGCUAAUUCAAUUAAGCCAGAAUCUCAUCCUGAGAAGCAUCUCUAGUGGCAGAGACAAUAUGUAACCAUCCCAGAUCCAUGGCCUGGAUAAUAAAAACGUCAGAGAGACAAUAUGGGCAUCCACCCACUCUGAGCCACUGUCAUGCCCUAGGGACCCAUUCAGCCCCUCCGUGGCAGACAGAUGAGUCCAGCUACACAAAUAUUUAUAAAGAAGAUAUGAGCAUGGCACUAGGGAGCACCCAGAGAGCCUCCUGAACGGCUGAAAUGUUGACACCUGAGCUAGCCCCAUCACACACAACUAUGCAAAGCAGCAGCAUCAUUUCAUCCACUGUUGGAAAAUUCUGCUCCACUUUGGAAAAUUUACAGAAGAAAACAGAAGGGAAAAGGCUUGUAGUGAUACACAGCAUAUUAAGUAUCACCAUGGAAAUCACACUGAAAGUUCAAAUACAACUUUUAUUAAACUUCUUGAACUUUCUUACAUGGCACUUUCCCCCAAAGGCCUCAGGAGUGCCUUCUUUAUACACUUUGAAAUCAAAGAGAUGCUUUGAGGGCAAAGGAAAAAUCACCUUUAGUGGAACGUUUUACGGUUGGUGCUGUUCAGAGCGUCUCGGGGUUGAAAUUCUCAAGACUCCAUUUGUUACCAACGAUUUAAUGAGCUGCUCAUUGUAUCAGCCAUGAAUGAUCAGCAAACAACUAUGCCGGCUCAUUUAUCUCCUCUAGUUUAAUUUGAGUCCUUAAAAUAAAUGUUCAUGUCUGCAAUAAAGGGCCUGAUAUGAUUCUUUUGUCUGGAGAUUGUAAAACAAGUGUGCCAACUAUCGCCGCCUUUAGUAGGUUUCAAGGUCGUCUGCUUUGCCAAGGUCUCUUAAAAACAAGUGCUGCUUUCCCUUGAAACCACUAAAAUGUCAGUCCCAUGAGGGCAGGCGCUGUCAUUUGUUCAGUGCUAAUCCCAAAUACCUAGCACUGUUCCUGGCCCUUACUAACCAAACAAUUAAGAUUAGUAUAAUUAUUGGGUGAGUGAAUUUUCCAUCGUGGCCAUUAUACAUGUAGGUGGAGGUAUAUAUCGCCCACAUUCAUAAAUAUCUGUGUUCAGACAGUACACACAAACAUGUGAGUGGAUGCGGCUGCCCCCUGGGAGAACAUGCUAUGUGACCCAUGAUACAUGGCUGCUUGCUGUUGGACCAGCAGACCACCCUUCCACUCCAUCCUGCUCAAGGGCACCAGCGCUGUCCGUCCCUCACUGCCACCAGGAGGCGGGUGAGGUUUAACCAACAUCAGACUAUAAAACUUGGCUCUGCCAGGGGGCCCUUCUGUCAUCAGAAAACAAUACACUAGUUGACAUGGGGCUCCUAAUAAACAAUUAAUAACAGGAGAAGCACUCUGCAAAGUGGAAUUCUUAAAGGGACAGAGGCAACUUUCAGCUGAAAGAAAGGUUUAACUUAGCUAAUCUGCAUGAACAUCAGUGCCUCUGCAGCAUCCAGAAAUAUGUUCUCGAAAGGUCAUGUGCAUAAGCAUUCACUGUGAAGAAUAAAAACAGUUGUUCUGAGUUUCUUGACAAAUAAGAAUAACUGCUCUAUAAUAAGAGCAACUGCUGGUAGGCAUGUGUAGCCAAACAAGCAGGGCUUUGUGCACCUGGCCUUCCCCACCCAAGGACUGCAGCAGGGUCUGGGAUCGGGGAGGAAGGCCAAGGAGGCCAGAGCUGGCAGGAGACUGAGACUUCGGACCCAGGAACUGGGGCCCCAGCCUCACCUUCCCUCUCCCACAGUUGAGGCCAUGGACAAGAACUCAACCCCUGUGCGUCUCAGCUUCGUUGUGGUUAACUGGGAGGGCUAGUCUAAUUUGGGGGAUUCUACAAAACAAACAUGACAAACAAACAAUAUGCAUUGUGAAUGUGUGUGUGCAUGCCUGUGUGCUAAGUCGCUUCAGUCAUGUCCGACUCUUUGCGACC